rnacentral:tRNA from 1 species
GUCUCAGUAGCAUAGUUGAAACUGCACAGCCCCGGAUAGGUUGAGACGCGGGUUCUAAUCCCGCCUGAGAUU